UACGUAGGGUGCGAGCGUUGUCCGGAAUUAUUGGGCGUAAAGGGCUCGUAGGCGGUUUGUCGCGUCGGGAGUGAAAACCCAGGGCUUAACUCUGGGCUUGCUUUCGAUACGGGCAGACUAGAGGUAUGCAGGGGAGAACGGAAUUCCUGGUGUAGCGGUGAAAUGCGGCAGAUAUCAGGAGGAACACCGGUGGCGAAGGCGGUUCUCUGGGCAUCGACCUGACGCUGAGGAGCGAAAGUGUGGGGAGCGAACAGG
rnacentral:rRNA from 1 species